GUUUGUGAUCGCGAGAGUUUUAGUUGCGCAAUAAGGGUUGGGCCUUGUAAUGAAGGAAGAAUUGGAUGCGGAAGGUAGAAUUGAGCCAAUGUAUGGAACAACAUUCCCGGUAUGACUUGCCUAGCUAGUGCUUCCUAGCUGACUAUACUAAAUGAAUUUCCGUUGUCCAUCCUCAAUCUUGUGUAUGACAUUCACACACUUUUCUACAUCCAUGCGCGGGGUUGAAAUUGG